CGGGCCUUCGCGGCGGCAUCGCGCCUCCCGCCGCCACCGCCUCCCCGUGACGGCCGGAGACGGCAGGGCGCACGUGGGUAGAUAACGCAGGUUUAAACUCAUCCCUUCGUCCUUCCUCCACAAGUGAUUCCCAAUACAAGACGAACCAGUAUGUCACAACAAGAAGGUAGCUGCUGAUUUUCACCUGAUUCUUCAGCCACAGACACCAGGGUUGUGGACAAGGUCAACUGAGGAAAAUAAUUCCAGUAUUACAAAGAAGAAGAGGUCCCUAAAGUCAACCAUAAGCCAGUUUUAUCCUCCCAUGGGUUGAUGUGGUGCAGAAAGCAAAGGAAGCAGCCUGCUCCGCUCCACUCCUUCGCUCUGCCCUGGGGAGCUCUCCCGCCCCAACGGCGGCAGGCCGGGACGUCUGGCAUCCAGAGGAGUGGGAAAACAAACAGCUCUCACAGUCCCAAUUCCACUUUUUGCCUCCUCUUUGAAACCAGAUUGGCUCAGCGUGCUGGCUGAAUGUGCCUUUUCGUCGGCGCAGUCUUCCUGGCUCCUCAAUAAAUGGACUCCCAAACCUGAAGGCA
rnacentral:lncRNA from 1 species